rnacentral:rRNA from 1 species
CUCUUCUUGAAUAUAAUUUGAUGUAUGGCCUGCCCACUGAAUAUUGAAGGGCCGCGGUAUUUUGACCGUGCAAAGGUAGCAUAAUCAUUAGUCUUUUAAUUGUGGACUGGAAUGAAUGGUUUGACGAGGUGUUAACUGUCUUUAAUUUUUUUCAUUGAAUUUAAAUUUUAGGUUAAAAUGCCUAAAUGUUUUUUUGGGACGAGAAGACCCUAUAGAGUUUUAUAUAUUUUUGCUUUUUUGUAUGAUAAAUUUUAAUGUAAAAAUUUAUUUUGUUGGGGUGAUGAGAAGAUUAAAUUAACUCUUUUUGUUUUUUUAUAUUUAUUUAUAUAUAUUUUGAUCCAUUUUUAUUGAUUAUAAGACUAAAUUACC